rnacentral:rRNA from 1 species
UACGAAGGGUGCAAACGUUGCUCGGAAUUAUUGGGCGUAAAGCGCACGUAGGCGGCUUGGCAAGUCGGAUGUGAAAUCCCUCGGCUCAACCAAGGAAGUGCAUCCGAAACUGCUGAGCUUGAGUACUUAAGAGGAUCGCGGAAUUCCCGGUGUAGAGGUGAAAUGCGUAGAUAUCGCUUGGAACGCCGACGGCGAAAGCAGUCUGCUGGGGGUGUGCUGACGCUGAGACACGAAAGCCAGGGGAGCGAACGGG